rnacentral:rRNA from 1 species
CGUAGGGGGCUAGCGUUGUCCGGAAUCAUUGGGCGUAAAGCGCGCGUAGGCUGCCCGAUAAGUCCGCUGUAAAAGUCAAAGGCUCAACCUUUGAAAGCCGGUGGAUACUGUCGGGCUAGAGUCCGGAAGAGGCGAGUAGAAUUCCUGGUGUAGCGGUGGAAUGCGCAGAUAUCAGGAGGAAUACCCAUAGCGAAGGCAGCUCGCUGGGACGGUACUGACGCUGAGGCGCGAAAGCGUGGGGAGCGAACAGGAUUAGAUACCCUGGUAGUCCACGCCGUAAACGAUGGGCACUAGGUGUGGGAGGUGUCGACUCCUCCCGUGCCGACGCUAACGCAUUAAGUGCCCCGCCUGGGGAUACGGCCGCAAGGCUAA